rnacentral:lncRNA from 1 species
GGGCAAGUAACCAUGCAACAAGAAGUUGGUCUUAUCAUUUGCGAUUGAGAAAGUCUGAGCAAAUGUAACAUCAUCCUCACGAGUAGCAUGUUUGGGAUGGGUUGACGAGUCUUUGAGAAAACACGUUAAGUUUAGAUCGCGAACAAUGAUAGUGACUUGUUGUUGUCACACAAGAUAGUUGUCUUCAUCGAGCUGAAAAUUGAUAAGAGUGGAGAAAAUGUGUUAUGUGAAGGAGGAAAAGCUAUAGGGGAUGAGAUCAAAUUGAAGACUUACGAAAGAAGAUGACAUUUUCAAAAGAAGGAAAAAGAAACUCUUGAUACCAUGUGAGGUUAUUAGAAAAGCAUAGAAGAAAAGUUUUCUAUUUUAUUAUUGAAGAAGCACAAGACUAGGUUUUAUAUAAACAAAACUAGAAAGUGAGAAACUGAAAAAUAUAAAGGGUAAUGAUACAUUAAGAGAUACUUUUUUAUAAUAUUUUGAAACAACAUGUGUCAUUUUUUAAUUGAAUUUAAAGUAUGUUGGUAUAAUAACAAAU